CAGCAGCCACGGAAUACAGAGGGUGCGAGCGUUAAUCGGAUUUACUGGGCGUAAAGCGUGCGUAGGCGGCUUUUUAAGUCGGAUGUGAAAUCCCUGAGCUUAACUUAGGAAUUGCAUUCGAUACUGGGAAGCUAGAGUAUGGGAGAGGAUGGUAGAAUUCCAGGUGUAGCGGUGAAAUGCGUAGAGAUCUGGAGGAAUACCGAUGGCGAAGGCAGCCAUCUGGCCUAAUACUGACGCUGAGGUACGAAAGCAUGGGGAGCAAACAGGAUUAGAUACCCCAGUAGUCCCUGUCUCUUAUACC
rnacentral:rRNA from 1 species